AUUGAACGCUGGCGGCAGGCCUAACACCUGCAAGUCGAACGCGUGGCACGCGUGUGAGUAGUGUCGGAGAAACUCCCUGAUGGAGGGGGAUAACUACUGGAAACGGUAUCUAAUACCACAUACUAUCAGAUGUCCCACUAUGGGAUUCUCUGGUAGGUGGGGUAACGGCUCACCUAGGCGACGAUCCCUAGCUGGUCUGAGAGGAUGACCAGCCACACUGGAACUGAGACACGGUCCAGACUCCUACGGGAGGCAGCAGUGGGGAAUAUUGCACAAUGGGCGCAAGCCUGAUGCAGCCAUGCCGCGUGUGUGAAGAAGGCCUUCGGGUUGUAAAGCACUUUCAGCGGGGAGGCGUUACCCGCAGAAGAAGCACCGGCUAACUCCGUGCCAGCAGCCGCGGUAAUUC
rnacentral:rRNA from 1 species